GCACGGUUAGCGCAAUGGUCUAGCGCGCCACUUGGGUUGAGAAACAGAGUUGGAAUCCCCGUGGACUCACAGUCAAAGACCGAGUUUCAGAGGGAAUCGGAACAUGAAUCACCAGAUAAAGACCCGGGCUCGAAUCACGGACCGUGCA